UCACCUCGUGUCUACGUGUGACGUGUCCAUCCUAAGCGAUCUGGAUGACCGCGGAAAAAGUGCCAAUUCAUGGAACUCUGCCAAAUAUAAUAAUAAUCGUGAAAAAUCGCAAAUAAUAUAUGGAAUCGAAGGAGCUAUUCAGCGAUGAAUCUCAAUCUCUACCUGUCACGUGUUUAUCUCAACACUUCUGGAAGACCCCUGGAAAAGAACCGCUUAGCUGGAAUAGUGCAAGUUCUAAUCAUAAUCAUGCAAAAACAGCAAGAAUCUCUGCAAUGGAAGGAAUUAAUCAUCGUUGAAACCCAGCUAAGUCUGCUGUAUGAAGAUGGAAGGCAACAAAAUGUCCGUUAAUACGGUUACAACCUUAUACUGAUGUCACCUACUGUACAAAUGCCUGUAUGCAUUGCCUUGAUAAUUUUCCAGAGAGAGAGAUUCAAGCACAUUACACAUCAUUUGAUGGGCUAAUGCUUUUCCACUUGACAUUUCGUCUAUAGAAUCGACAAACACACUCGCCUCGAGAGGAGGAUUGGUGUCCUUUUGGUGUUGUCCGGAUAUGGGGAUAUUUGUCACAAGCCAAAAACGAGAAAAUGGCAGGGUACUUUCCUUUGGAAAUGGAUAUAUAACAGAUAAUUCCCUUGAGCGGACAGGAUAGCGUACAAGUCAAUGCUAUCGGGAAGUAUAACAAAAAUGUAAGCAGUUAUUCCCUUAAGCGGACAAAUAGACGGACAAAUCCCUGACGCGUAUCACUUCACCUGGAGCCGGUCCUGUCUUGGGGCAGAGUGCAUCAUCAAUGCUGUCCCUCAGCCGCAUGGCCGCAUUCAGCUCUGCAUCAUCAUUAGCAGCUCCAGA